rnacentral:misc_RNA from 1 species
AACCUGCAGUGUGAAGAGAAACCACAAGACUACAAAAGAGCUCCUAAAGUUUACAAACCUUGCACGCACAAUAAUAGAAGUUGAAAAAGAGGAUGCCAGAAUCGGAAGCCAUAAUUAUUUCUGUUGAUCUUCCUUUCCAAAAGCUAUAUUAAUUCUAUUUCUUUACACCUCCAAUUUAUUACACUAGGCAUCUCCAAUAAGUAGAAAAGGGGACAGGGAGAAGGCGUGAUGUUUGUAUAUGUGUGU